UCGAACAGGAAAGAGAGUGUCACAAGAGAGGGGGGGUACAGAGAUCGUCUUCCUACUAGAUUUGCUCGAAACAGAAGACCAUCUCUUCUCCCUUUUCAAGUAUUCUCUCUUUCCAUCUUCAACCCACACCUGUGCACCUUUGUAGAUCCCCUCUUGAAAGAGAGGUGGUGUCUAUGUUUUCAUCACAACACACUAUGUAUGGCCAGAAUGUAUUAUGAUUUACAAUUUA
rnacentral:misc_RNA from 1 species